rnacentral:rRNA from 1 species
UACGUAGGGGGCAAGCGUUGUCCGGAAUCAUUGGGCGUAAAGAGCGUGUAGGCGGCUUGGUAAGUCCGCUGUGAAAGUCCAGGGCUCAACCUUUGAAUGUCAGUGGAUACUGCCGGGCUAGAGUCCGGAAGAGGCGAGUGGAACUCCGUGGUGUAGCGGUGGAAUGCGCAGAUAUCAGGAGGAACACCUGUGGCGAAAGCGGCUCACUGGACCACAACUGACGCUGAGGCGCGAAAGCUAGGGGGAGCAAACAGG